GAACGUAGAAGAUCUAACCGUUAUAAUAUAUUAGUAUUAAUUAUAAAUAAUGUUACAUUUAUUAUUUCAUUAAUGCCGGUUAGGGGUGAAAUGCUUUCAAUUCUUACAUAUCUGGAUUUAUAUUAAAUAUAUUUAGUAUAGGAUAAGUUUCUCAAAUUUGAAAUAUUAAGAUUUCAAAUAUAAAUUAAAAUUACUUAGUUUUUUAUGUAUGUAAGUGCUAAACCACUUAUAGAUAAUAGUAAUAGAAUUAAUUUAUAAUUAUUUAAUAGGUGUAAUAUAAUGAUUUUUAAAAUUUAUUUAAAAAGUUAAUAAUGUUUAAAUUAGUUAUAAUAUAAAAUUUUAAUAAGGAACUCGGCAAAUAUAUUUUUCGUCUGUUUAACAAAAACAUAGCUUAAUGUAAUUAAUAUUAAGUGAUUUCUGCCCUGUGAAUUUUUUAACGGCCGCAGUACCUUGACUGUGCUAAGGUAGCAUAAUAAAUUGGCUUUUAAUUGGAGUCUAGUAUCAACGGAGUGUCGGAAAAUAACUGUCUCUUUAGAAUUAUACUAAAGUUGCUUAAAAGGUGAAAAUACCUUUAAUAAUAAUAUAGACAAGAAGACCCUAAGAAUUUUUAUAAUAUGAAUUUAUACUAAUUUAUUUAUUUUUGUUGGGGCGACAAGGUAACAGUAAACUUACCUUUAAAUAUAUUACAAGUCAGUAUAUAUUUAGUCAGAUUAAAUUACCUUAGGGAUAACAGCAUAAUAUAGUUUUGAUUGUGACCUCGAUGUUGGAUUAGGUAAAUUAAUAGCUAGCAGUUAUUAAAUUUAGUUCUGUUCGAACUUUUAUACCUACAUGAUCUGAGUUCAGACCGGCGUAAGCCAGGUCAG
rnacentral:rRNA from 1 species